AUUGAACGCUGGCGGCAGGCCUAACACAUGCAAGUCGAGCGAGCGGCGGACGGGUGAGUAAUGUAUGGGGACUGCCCGAUAGAGGGGGAUAACUACUGGAAACGGUGUCUAAUACCGCAUACUAUCGGAUAACCCAUAUGGGAUUAGCUAGUAGGUGGGGUAAAGGCUCACCUAGGCGACGAUCUCUAGCUGGUCUGAGAGGAUGAUCAGCAACACUGGGACUGGAAACCGGCCAAGCCUCCUACGGAGGCAGCAGUGGGGAAUAUUGCACAAUGGGGGCAAGCCUGAUGCAGCAAUGCCGCGUGUAUGAAGAAGGCCUUAGGGUUGAAAAGUACUUUAAGCGGGGAGGCGUUACCCGAAGAAGAAGCACCGGCUAACUCCGUGCCAGCAGCCGCGGUAAUUC
rnacentral:rRNA from 1 species